rnacentral:rRNA from 1 species
UACAGAGGUCUCAAGCGUUGUCCGGAAUUAUUGGGCGUAAAGAGCUCGUAGGCGGUGUGUCGCGUCGGCCGUGAAAACCUGCAGCUUAACUGUGGGCUUGCGGUCGAUACGGGCAUCACUGGAGUUCGGCAGGGGAGACUGGAAUUCCUGGUGUAGCGGUGAAAUGCGCAGAUAUCAGGAGGAACACCGGUGGCGAAGGCGGGUCUCUGGGCCGAUACUGACGCUGAGGAGCGAAAGCGUGGGGAGCAAACAGG